CUUCUAUUAAUCCCUAAUUAAUCAUUAAAGAAUAAGAUAAUAAUUGGAAUUUUAUAAAUUGCGCAAGGAUAAAAUGAGAAUACAUAAACUUUAAACUCUCUCAACCCACAGUUGAAAAGCUAUUGUAAAAUGAAGGUUCAUUUCACAACCUAAAACCAACCUUUUUCAAGAACAAUCUUUCAAAAUAAGGAGAGAAACCAUACCAGCCAUUAUAAAACAAUGGCAAACCAUGAUUCAAACAAUGUAUAAUUCCACAACUUUCCUCUUCCACAUUGUUAUACUUUUUCCUUAUCAAGAAUAAUCCCCACAACAAAGAACAAAUCUGGUUUAGAAUUCCCUCCAAUAAAACCAGAUUUUAGUAUCAUAACAUCGCUAUUAUGAGAAUUUUCCACAACUUUAGAAGCAGGAGUUUUGCCACUCACAUCUUGAAUUGAAGAUUCAGAAUUAAAUUUGGUGUCUUCAUCCUUUUUCCCCACCUUAAAUUCUUCAAGCGGCUUAAAAACUGAUUCUAACUUCUUCUCAUUUUCUUUUUGAGCCUCUUUGUUCUUCAAAGCAAGACUAACAGUACUUGUAUCUUGGAUUGGUGUUUUCUCCCAUGUUCCUUGCCAUUGCUUUGAUUGUAAAUUGAGAAUGUCAAGAAUUUGGCCCAUGGUUUUCUGGUUCUCUUGAUGAAGAAGCCGCAUUUCCGAUUGCACUUCAUCCAUUCUUCGAGUAUUUUCUGUCAUGAAGCUUCUGAGUUGCUGCUCUAAUGAUAUGACUUGAUCCUCCAGGUUUUGAAUCUUUUCCCUGACCAUACUUGGCGAUGAAUGCUAGGCUCUGAUUCUUGUUUUGUAGCAGGGAAAGGAAAGUGAGAAGAAAUAGUAAAAAAGAGGAAUAGGAAGGAAUGAGAAACAAAGAGAUAGACAGAAUGGAGAAAUCUAAAGUAAAGAAGAUGUAGGGAAAAGAAGAGGAGAAGACAAUAAAGCAUACGAGGGAAAGAACGGAAUGCAGACGUAUAGGAAAAGAAGGAGAAGAAAAGAGAGAAAGCUCUAGGAUUGAAAUGAUAACACCUUUAUAGGACCCAAUACUGCCUUGACAAGGCCUCCG
rnacentral:misc_RNA from 1 species